CGCAUCCCCGAGCACUUGCUGCGUUACACUGACGACGAUAACGCUGAUAACUUGCAGCAGCAAAUUUGUACGCUCGAGGACCAGAAACCGAGCUUGCGAAUGCACUCGAAAUGUCUCGCAACAGCAAAGCUGAUAACAAGGUAGAGGUAUACGUACUAGCGACGUUCUAAAACAAAACGAGCGGAAGGGACAAGUCAAAACUUGUGCGUGCUGUUUAUUGUCUCCGGCUUGAGGUCGUGAAAUUUAUACCAGCCGUUUUAAACAAUUUUACGGAGUAAAGAAGAUAGCUUGCAAGUUUUGUAUUUCAGAUUAAAGUUAAUGUAUACGAAGCUAUAUUGAAGUUUGAAUCAUACUUUGUAACAUCAUUUUUUACAUUUAUGAUAUAUCUCUUUUUCAGCCCACGUUAAUUCAUCGUCCAUCGUCUAAAAUGAUAAGAAACGAGGUGCAAUAGAAAUUGACCCCCUGCAGGAACGGCAACGGCCUCAUAACUGCACCAACAGCGACAACAAUGAAACCGCCUUGUUCGGAAAUAAUGAAAUUAAUCGACUAUUCUUACUUUGCAGACAGUACUAAAAUCUUAAACAUUUAGUCCAAUAGAUAUAUACUUUAGAUAAUAGAUAAUUGUCACACUGCUACGAUAUAGUUACAACGAUAAAUAUGUUAUUCAACAGGUGAACAGCUUUCUCAAUGUUGAAUCAAAUGUAUAAACGUUUACGUUCCUUUGAAAUCAUGACCCGGAUCAAUUAAGACCUUUAACUACGAUGAUUAUCUGCAGGAAUAAUCGCUGUAAACUCUACUAAAGACUACAUCUCUUCUGCAAGAGAUUUUCCCCUGGGUCCAAUUACCUUACUACAAUUUCAAGACUUGUGAAUUGUCUUUGUAAAGAGUUCUAUUUCUUCCUGGAUCAAUCUUAUAAAAUAUAAAUAUUACCAGAGUCAUUCACAAGCUUCGUUGCACUUAAAUGCUACCAAACUUUGCCUAAGUUUAUCUUUUAUUUUCAGAUAUCCCCCUCGAUCAUGAGGAGCAUUGUUUGAAGCCAGAAUGCCACACGCAAAAAGACAGAAAGGAAAACUGAAGGUCUUAGGAUGAAGAAAAAACGUGGGAAGGUCGAAACACUUUGCACGUUAAGAAGAACGCGCAAUAAAUAUUUUAAUUGAGCAUGAAUAAGAAUGUUGUGAAGCGAUUUCGUAUUUACGAAGGUUAUCGAUUAUACAAAGUGUCUUCAUCGUUAUACAAGAAUGGACUCGAUGUGUUCGAACCGAAAAAAGGAACUGAAUUAUUCACUGCGAUGCUUCUGAAUUUUAUUAAAUCACGUCCGCGAGAUUUACCGUGGUAUUUCAAUGGAACCACCUACCCUCAUUUUGUCGUCGAUUGUUUGUUCAAAGGCAACAUCGCAGACAUUCAGAAUAAAAAGUGUACGUCGCCGACUCUCCGGGCGUAACCUUCGUGCAUAGGGAAGCAGAAUACAAAGGCGCAAAAAAAGAAAUAGCAGAUCUCCGAUGUCAUUAACACUAUUAUUGAGUCACCUUCUUCAACACAAAAGUAUCAGAAAUAGUUGGGAGGCUUAAGGACGAAUAUGUGGUGGAAAA